GCGAGCGAGCGAGCGCGAGCGGGAGAAAACCUGGCCGUCUUGUAAUGGCAAUAGCGGCGUCUGCCUUUGGUUACAGGCAGCUUCUUUCUCGGACAGCAUUUCUGUUGAGGUCUACAGUUCGAAGUCUGAGUGCACAAAACACUUCACCAGUUCACGGGCUGCUUCCAAAAACAUCCUUGACAUCACCUCCAUGGCCUGAAAUCAAGCUACCAGAUCCGGCAGAAGAGGCAGAACAUCACAGAGAGCUUGUACAGAAUGUGAAUGAGUUGAUUGCCACUGGGCAAUAUGGAAGACUGUUUGCAGUUGUUCACUUUGCCAGCAGACAGUGGAAAAUAACCAGUGAAGACUUGAUUUUAAUUGAAAACCACUUACCUGCUGAAUGUGGAGACAGAAUCAGAAUGGAAAAGGUACUGUUGGUGGGGGCUGAUAACUUCACACUGCUGGGAAAGCCUCUCCUGGGAAAGGACCUAGUCCGUGUGGAGGCCACUAUUAUAGAGAAGACUGAGUCUUGGCCAAGAGUUAAUGUGAAGUUCCGUCGAAGGAAGAGUUAUGAGACGAGAAAAAUUGUCAUUCAGCCGCAAACUGUUCUCCGGAUAAAUUCCAUUGAAAUUGCUCCUGUUCUGUCAUGAUGGAUUGUAACAUCUCGGGAACAUUAAGGAAAUAGAAAAUGUUUCUCAUUGAAGCUGGUUUGCACAUUAUGUUGCCAAUCAAAGAGCAGGAGUGUUCAACUCAAAGCCCGUGAUCUGGAUCCGGCCUGUGGGAUGCUUAGUCUGGCCCGUGGAACCUACCUGGAAACAACAAAGGAGCAGCCCGCACAGUCCUCUCAAGCUCCAUUUUUACUGGCAGAGGUUGCAGAAGGCCAAAAAACGAGCAUGUCCACCCCAGCCCCCUGAGGUCAAACACAACCCUGAUGCAGCCCUCAAUGAAAUCGAGUUUGACACCCCAGUAUUAAAGGAUGCAGAAAGAUGACACUAGAGAGAGAUCCACAAAUCACCUUCCAUACUAUCUACACCAUUCUGCAUUUGAAUUUCAAGUUAUGUGUUGAGGAAAGCAAUGAAAAGGAAAUCUGGCAGACUGCAAGACUGAUGAAAAUGCAGGGACUCCCUUUGGAUUUUUCUAAGAAUUUGCCAAAGUCAUCAAUAUUUGACUCAGUUGGAUCAGGAUGUAUUUUGUAUUUAAUUUCUGCUCGAAGUUGAGUGUACAUUUUUAGACAAAUUAUGGUUUCCAUUCAAUUGUUAUUGAAUGUUCUUUUGUGUUAGAUUCUUUUGCUUUUGCUAUCAAAAAUCUGCAAGCAAUGAAUGUAAGCAAGGGUUAAUUAAAAGUUAUUCUGCCUCAGAGACUUUUAAGAAAAAAAAUAUCUGGUUGCUCAGGAGCUUAAGAUAAUCAUAGCUCAAAUUAAGGAGAACUGCUUUCUAAGAAUAAUUAUAAGAUUUAUGGGCAACCUCCAGUCCACAAUAAUGGAUAAUAGCAUUAAUAAGGUAUUUAAUUAUCCGUUCUUUCUGUGUAUCAUUAAAUUAUGUGGUGGCAGCUUGUCUCUAGAACUUCUCUUUCCUUAAGCACAGCAGCCACCAAAUCUUCCAUCCUGAAAUAGGCAGGGACAUCAGCUAGGUUUUUGAGUGGCUUAUUGUCAGAUAAGUGGCCCUAAGCUCCUAGCUCAAUAGCAAUCACACUUUGACUAUUUACUGCUCCAUAGUACUUGACACUUUGAGAGGUUUGCAGUGUCAGCCUAUUGCCCACAAGAAUCUGGGUCCUCAUUUUAUCAACCUCAAAUGGAU